rnacentral:rRNA from 1 species
UACAGAGGUGGCAAGCGUUGUUCGGAAUUACUGGGCGUAAAGGGCGCGUAGGUGGCCUUUUGAGUCAGACGUGAAAUCCCCCGGCUUAACCUGGGAACUGCGUCUGAUACUGGAAGGCUUGAGUUCGGGAGAGGGAUGUGGAAUUCCAGGUGUAGCGGUGAAAUGCGUAGAUAUCUGGAGGAACACCGGUGGCGAAGGCGGCAUCCUGGACCGAAACUGACACUGAGGCGCGAAAGCGUGGGGAGCAAACAGG